rnacentral:rRNA from 1 species
AACGAACGCUGGCGGCAUGCCUAACACAUGCAAGUCGAACGAGACCUUCGGGUCUAGUGGCGCACAGGUGCGUAACGCGUGGGAACCUGCCCUUAGGUUCGGAAUAACUCCCCGAAAGGGGUGCUAAUACCGGAUAAUGUCUUCGGACCAAAGAUUUAUCGCCUUUGGAUGGGCCCGCGUUGGAUUAGCUAGUUGGUAGGGUAAAAGCCUACCAAGGCGACGAUCCAUAGCUGGUCUGAGAGGAUGCUCAGCCACACUGGGACUGAGACACGGCCCAGACUCCUACGGGAGGCAGCAGUGGGGAAUAUUGGACAAUGGGCGAAAGCCUGAUACAGCAAUGCCGCGUGAGUGAUGAAGGCCUUAGGGUUGUAAAGCUCUUUUACCCGGGAUGAUAAUGACAGUACCGGGAGAAUAAGCUCCGGCUAACUCCGUG